rnacentral:rRNA from 1 species
UACGUAGGGGGCGAGCGUUACCCGGAUUCACUGGGCGUAAAGCGCGUGUAGGCGGCUGAUCAAGCGUGGUGUGAAAUCUCCGGGCUCAACCCGGAAACUGCAUUGCGAACUGGUCUGGCUAGAGUGCAGGAGAGGGCAGCAGAAUUCCUGGUGUAGCGGUGAAAUGCGUAGAUAUCAGGAGGAAUACCAGUGGCGAAGGCGGCUGCCUGGCCUGUAACUGACGCUGAGACGCGAAAGCGUGGGGAGCGAACCGG